rnacentral:rRNA from 2 species
UACAGAGGUCCCGAGCGUUGUUCGGAUUCACUGGGCGUAAAGGGUGCGUAGGCGGUUCUGAAAGUCUGAUGUGAAAUCUCCAGGCCCAACCUGGAAACUGCAUUAGAAACUACAGGGCUAGAGGCUUGGAGGGGGAACUGGAAUUCUCGGUGUAGCAGUGAAAUGCGUAGAGAUCGAGAGGAACACCAGUGGCGAAGGCGAGUUCCUGGACAAGUCCUGACGCUGAGGCACGAAAGCCAGGGGAGCAAACAGG